rnacentral:rRNA from 1 species
UACGGAGGGUGCUAGCGUUGUUCGGAAUCACUGGGCGUAAAGGGCGUGUAGGCGGUCUGUUAAGUCUGAUGUGAAAUCCCCUCGCUCAACGAGGGAACUGCGUCGGAUACUGGCAGACUCGAGUACCGGAGAGGAAGGUGGAAUUCCCGGUGUAGCGGUGAAAUGCGCAGAUAUCAGGAAGAAUAUCCGUGGCGAAGGCGGCUCUCUGGUACGGCACUGACGCUGAGACGCGAAAGCGUGGGGAGCGAACAGG